CUUUUGGGUGCCUGUUGCACAGCGGGAGCGGACUGUUAUCAGAAGGGGAAGUCCUGUGCUGCAAACAGAAAACAGAGCUCGAAAUCUGCAGAGGGAAACGGCAACAGGAGCGGGCAGGUGGCAGCGGGUGGGUGCAUGGCCUCGUGGGAGCGGUGCUGGUGGCAGGGGUCCCGGGUGCCCCGGCAGCACCCUCAGCGCCUGGGCUGCCACCGCGUCCCCGCGAGCCCGGCUCACCGCUGCCCUGCGCGACCGAAUGCGCUUUGGCAACGGAUGGCUGCCACCGGGGCGAGUUUCCAUCGCAACAAGGACCCGGCUUCCAGAUUUUUAAACUUAGGAGAGGUGAAUCCAGAAGGCUGAUGACAAAGCAGCGAUGAAGAUUCAUUCAGUGCUACAGGGACCAGCGCCAAGGAGGAAGCAGAGAAAAGCGACUUCACACAGUUUGUGGCAGGAAGGUACCUGCCAUAAGUUUGAGCAGCCCUAAAGAUGUUGCAGGCUAUGGCAGCCUCCUAAGGCAGUCCUGAGCCCAGGAGCUCUGUGAAUGUAUCCUCUUCCCAGCUCUCCCUCUCAGUCCCUUUCACAAGCAAUAUAUCUAUUUAUUUAAAGAGGGGAGGGGGAGGUGAAAGAUUGCAAGUCUUGGUAUGAGGUUUCUUUCAUUUGCCAAGGGAAAAUCUGAAAGCAUUAAAUGUGCAGAGUGAUGGACUUGGUGGAGCAAAGCUGAGGAAUGGCUUUAAAUGGGCCAUGUAUUUGUUGCUGGAGCUUAAUAAAGCUGCUGGCUGAUGACAGUUUGCUACUGGCUCUGGACAGUGGAAAAAGUCGUCCCAAUGACAGCAAACAAACAGGGGCAAACUCCACCCCUUCCUUAAAAUUGGACCAAGGAAAUGGACUCUUAGCAUGAUGGGUUGUAACUGGGACCCUGUUUUUGAAAUGUGAUCCACGUGUGCAAAUCCCACACAGAUCAGAUGCCAAAACUUCAGUGCUUCUUUGACAUUUCAGUUGAGAUGGAGAACAAAUGUGUUCUGUACUCAUCUUUUAUUUUUUUAAACAAAAACGGUUAACUUUGAAACAAGGGCUUUGAUUGCUAUCUCUCUGACGUCAGCUUUACAUUGAUGUAAUUCUAUAGGCUGGUGGGAUCAUUGCUGGUUUGCACUGGUGUACGCAGGCGAACAAUCAGGCUCUAUGUUUUCCAAGCAGUGAAGCUGCUUAUGUUUUGUGCAAAGAAGGAAACUCAGUUAAACAACUUAAAUGGAAAAAUAAAGUAACCAAGAAAUUCAGAAGGUUCCAAAAGCAAUAUAAGAACAGAUACACCUACAAUGUUCUAACUGUAUCGCUAGUUUUAAAAAAAUACCUAGCCUAAUUAAGAUUGACUUUGCUGUAAAUAUGUACAGUGAUCUCUCUAAUUUUCAAGUUUUGAGUGACAUCCAAAGGUGCAACAGCUAUGCUUGCAGGGUGAGAUGUACGACAAGAUGACCCUUUGGAGGGAUGCUGGCUCUGCUUCACCUGUGACUGCUGGACUCUUCUAUGAAAUGGGUGCUAAUGUGAUGGAGGAGGAACCCUGCCUGAAACAGGCAAAUCCAAAGGACUGCCUGACAGGCUGAAUGGGAUGGCAAGUCUGCAGACAGCUGUAUAGAAAAACUUGUCAGAAGAGGGUUGUGGUACAAACUCCAGAUCUGUUGUAUGUCUCUGUGGCCAAAAGGGAAACCAUCCUCCUCUGAAGUGAAGCAGGAUCUGAAGCAUGUAUCUCAGAUAUACUCUUUGCUCUCUGGGUCCAGAAGUGGUCUGACUCAAGAUGGGAAGCUGACCCUGAAAUCUACACAGUCACAGAGAGUAGUACUGCACACCAAACCUGGCUUACGCUUGUCAUAACCCUUGGAACUUUUCUUUUUUUUUUAAUGAUAAGCAGUUUUCAGGCUGUUGCUUACAUUUCCCAUUGGCUUGAACUUCUAAGAGCUAUGAAGUAAUGGGAAACUGUGCACUUAUGAUUUGGCUCAUUCGUUAAGAAAACACCAUGGAAAAAGUGCUUUGAGAGAGCAUUUUCUUGGAAGUUGGGCCUGUUUGUGUCUGGCGAACUGUUUAAAAAACCAAAAGCGCUGAAGUGAUAUUAAGACUCAAAAAAAUAUUAAAAAAUACUAUGUGCAACAUAACAGUUAAAUAGCUACAGUUGUAGUUAAAAAGUAGAAAGGCAGAUUUGAUUUUGCUGGUGUAAAACCAAUAGUAGAACAAGCUACAAACUAAUUUGCAAUGUCUUACAGCAACAAUUAGUGGCCUAAAGGAUGUGACUUUUCAUUAGGAUGACUAUCACCAGUAGGAGGAUCUGACAGGUAGCUGAAUCAUGCCCAGUGUAGUCACACCGAACUUCACAUAUACAUACAUCUACAGUGUUUAUUGCUCAGUCAAAUUCCUCCUUUUAUAAUUCUGGAUUGCCACAUUUGCAAUUAUAUUGCAUCCGGCAGAGAGCUCUGAGAUCUGUAAUUACCAAACAUAUCUACAGCAGUCACACAGCAACAGAAGUGACACUCAUGUACUUACGAGGGUAAUAUCAAAGCACUGCAUUUGCUACCCUCCUACUUGCCUAGGUAUUUCAGAGUAUGACUGAAAUGAGAGAUGUUUACUGGACAGUUUAUUCUGUGAAGCACCCUCCGAGUGUAGUGAUGUACAGCUGAUAAAUGUGAGAGGGAAAUAGGUGCCGCUGAUGAGAACCAAACAACGUAGAACUGAGCCCUGGAAUUUUACGUUCUUUGCAAUAUCUUCUGUGGCUGCUCAGCUAGCUGUCAGAAGAGGGUUGUUACGCAGAUCCUGGCACACCAGAAAGGAUGAGGCAUUGAUUGAACCAUGCACGUUGUUUCUCUGUAGAAAGGGCAGAAAAUAUGCAUAUUUGUAAAUCAUCUUGUUGUAGGGAGUGAGUGCCCUUCAUAGGGCUCAGUCUAUAAGAUGGAGGUGUUUGUAAACAGUCAUCACAGUGGCAGAGAACUGAUGGUGUAAUGACAGGAGGGAUGGCAGUAUCUGUGUAUAUCCCAACCACGGGACCACGUUAAAGCGAG